rnacentral:lncRNA from 1 species
CUCUAAUAAAACUUAUAUUUUUUACUUACCUGUCAAUGUAUACCAUUCUUACCUACAUAUUUGUGCCUCAAAAUCAUUGUUUUUUAAAAUAAAAUUAGUAAUUAUUGAAAUAUUACCUACCGGAAAUGCAUGUGUGCAGAGAAAAUCAUUCCACAAACAUAGUUGAUUUUUAUCCCUUGUACUUACAAACAGUCUCCGAUCGAUCAUUAAUGAUGUUAUUUGUUUGUGGUUUAUAUAUAUGAAUGAUAUGACACAUAAUCUUACCUAUAAAUAUUCACCGAUUGUCCAUAAAAAGUAUUAAAACUGUUUGUUUACGUCUUCGUGAUCUUUGAUCAACCAUUUUUCUCCGAAC